rnacentral:rRNA from 1 species
CGUGCUUAACACAUGCAAGUCGAACGAGGCAGCGGCCUUCGGGCCGUUGUCGAGUGGCGAACGGGUGAGUAACACGUGAGGAACCUGCCCCGGAGAUCGGGAUAACCAGGGGAAACCCUGGCUAAUACCGGAUACCCCCGGAUGGUCGCAUGGCCAACCGAGGAAACGCUCUGGUGCUCCGGGAGGGCCUCGCGGCCUAUCAGCUUGUUGGCGGGGUAACGGCCCACCAAGGCAUUGACGGGUAGCUGGUCUGAGAGGACGAUCAGCCACACUGGGACUGAGACACGGCCCAGACUCCUACGGGAGGCAGCAGUGGGGAAUAUUGCGCAAUGGGCGAAAGCCUGACGCAGCAACGCCGCGUGGGGGAUGACGGCCUUCGGGUUGUAAACCCCUUUCAGCAGGGACGAAAAUGACGGUACCUGCAGAAGAAGCCCCGGCCAACUACGUGCCAGCAGCCGCGGUAACACGUAGGGGGCAAGCGUUGUCCGGAUUUAUUGGGCGUAAAGAGCUCGUAGGCGGUUGCGUAAGUCGGAUGUGAAAACUCAGGGCUCAACCCGGAGACGCCAUUCGAUACUGCGCUGACUAGAGUCCGGUAGGGGAGCAUGGAAUUCCUGGUGUAGCGGUGAAAUGCGCAGAUAUCAGGAGGAACACCAGUAGCGAAGGCGGUGCUCUGGGCCGGUACUGACGCUGAGGAGCGAAAGCGUG